CCUACGGGAGGCAGCAGUGGGGAAUAUUGCACAAUGGGGGAAACCCUGAUGCGCGACGCCGCGUGAAGGAAGUAGUAUUUCGGUAUGUAAACUUCUAUCAGCAGGGAAGAAAAUGACGGUACCUGACUAAGAAGCCCCGGCUAACUACGUGCCAGCAGCCGCGGUAAUACGUAGGGGGCAAGCGUUAUACGGAUUUACUGGGUGUAAAGGGAGCGUAGGCUGGUCAGAAAGUCAGAAGUGAAAGCCCGGGGGUCAAAUCCGGGACUGCUUUUGAAACUGUUGAACUAGAUUGCAGGAGAGGUAAGUGGAAUUCCUGGUGUAGCGGUGAAAUGCGUAGAUAUUAGGAAGAACACCAGUGGCGAAGGCGGCUUACUGGACUGUAAAUGACGCUGAGGCUCGAAAGCGUGGGGAGCGAACAGGAUUAGAUACCCGUGUAGUC
rnacentral:rRNA from 1 species